rnacentral:lncRNA from 1 species
AACAUCAAAAUUAUUUUCAUACGGUUAUCUUUUAGAUCUUUACAAUAUGAAUUGAUCACGGCAUCCUGAACUUCACCCAGCUGCACGGGUUUAGAGAUGCAGUUCCAGGCUUUCCUGCUCUCCGGGUCCUAAUACAGUUACUGACCACUGCAUUUUUUCUGCAUGACUUGACAGUGUUGUCUUUGUUGGCUCUUCCCUGUGUGGAGGUAAGUUAAUAUCAAAGGGACAACAAUUAAAGAAAUAAUCACGGGUAGAUUUUUGCCUGAUGAUUGAAACCACAUUAUUUGCCUUAAUUUCUGCUGGAGCAAGGCUUUGAAUCUCAAGCAGAGGCCAGCAGCUGGCACAGGGUUGAUGACCAGAAGAAGGCUUGCUGAGCCAGUGUACAGACAGUGUCUUCAGGCCUGUAUG